GUGUGAGACGUGAGAUUGAACUGCUGUACCCAUUGAUAUACUUUUUGGACUGGGAAGGCUUCCGUAAGUGUAGAUAGAUGGGGUGGUGCAAAGUGUGAGAGGGAAAAGAAGAAAAGAAAGGCGCGAGAGUCAGGGAGAGGGUGGGACAGAUAUUUUGGAUUGGAGGGAAGACUGUUAGCGGACCAGAUAGUUUUAAACGCGAUAGAUAACCAAUGCUGUAUUGCAAAUGCGAGUAAACGCCGUCCAUAUUCUUCCGAGGAAUAAACAAGUUAAAGGCUGAAACCUUGUGUCGGCUGGCCGUCUCCAGAACUUUGCUCACUCUACACGAGCACUGCAGAAACGAAGCACUUACCCACGGCCUUACACUAGUUAGCUCCAUUACCUAGAUAUUUCCCAGGCUAAUAUCCUAGCUGUCUUAAUUGCUUAGCAAGGAUUGCUCGCAAACCGCCUUAGGUGUUUAGUAUGAUUCACAACUGCCAGGUAGUUGGUUAGUUAACUAAUAUACCAGUAGCUACAUGUACGCAGGCACAAAACUAUAUUUCAAAGUGCACAAUUAAGUCAUAGCGUUGUAUCCAAUAAGAGAUGCAUCAUACAUCAUCGAUGUAUCACAAUAGCCACUGAACCGGAUAUUGACCGGAGCAUGCUAUGAAGGGACAGCGGGCUGUGCAGAUACACCGGCUGAAGCAGGCCCCGUACUCGCACAGAUGCGUGUCCAGGAUGGUUCUGAUGGUGUGCUUGGCGAUGGUGAGUCUGAGGCCCUUCAUGCUGCCGCUGACGUCCACCACAAUCACGAUGUCCUUAGGAGAGGUGGCCGCCUGGAUGUACCUGCGAGGGGGGCCCUGUCCUCGGCCCCGUGAUGGAUCACCAGAUCACCGGCGGAUCAAUCUGGAGGAGCUGAGUCACCGCCCUCCUGGUAAUUACUCCCAGACGCGUCUGCUGUCACUCACUCCAGAGCCCGGCUCGGAGGGCCUUUCUGAGGCCCUGGCAGAGCCGCGGGCCCCUGGUGCCUGAAGCGGCCGCUGAACGGCUCACGCUGCUGUGCGUGCGCGAGUGGGAGGAGGCGCGGGCGCCUGUGCGUCUGCAGACCCACUUCUUACGGCCGGAGAGAACGGGGCGGGCGUCGGCACGGCGCCUCACCUGGGUAGAGCCUGAAGAAGCCCGUGGAGCUGCCGAAGUACUGCCAGGCUGUAGGCCUAGUUCAGUGGAGAUGGGUGAAGCUUUGUGGGAGGACGGUGGAGAUUGGCACACCUUUGUUGUAGACAUUGGUGGGGACCUGGAUGUCACUCAGCGAGGUGUUGACAGACAGUCGGCUG